UAUAGAUGGAUCCGCGCUGCAUUAGCUAGUUGGUAAGGUAACGGCUUACCAAGGCAACGAUGCAUAGCCGACCUGAGAGGGUGAUCGGCCACACUGGAACUGAGACACGGUCCAGACUCCUACGGGAGGCAGCAGUAGGGAAUCUUCCGCAAUGGGCGAAAGCCUGACGGAGCAACGCCGCGUGAGUGAUGAAGGUCUUCGGAUCGUAAAACUCUGUUAUUAGGGAAGAACAUAUGUGUAAGUAACUGUGCACAUCUUGACGGUACCUAAUCAGAAAGCCACGGCUAACUACGUGCCAGCAGCCGCGGUAAUACGUAGGUGGCAAGCGUUAUCCGGAAUUAUUGGGCGUAAAGCGCGCGUAGGCGGUUUUUUAAGUCUGAUGUGAAAGCCCACGGCUCAACCGUGGAGGGUCAUUGGAAACUGGAAAACUUGAGUGCAGAAGAGGAAAGUGGAAUUCCAUGUGUAGCGGUGAAAUGCGCAGAGAUAUGGAGGAACACCAGUGGCGAAGGCGACUUUCUGGUCUGUAACUGACGCUGAUGUGCGAAAGCGUGGGGAUCAAACAGGAUUAGAUACCCUGGUAGUCCACGCCGUAAACGAUGAGUGCUAAGUGUUAGGGGGUUUCCGCCCCUUAGUGCUGCAGCUAACGCAUUAAGCACUCCGCCUGGGGAGUACGACCGCAAGGUUGAAACUCAAAGGAAUUGACGGGGACCCGCACAAGCGGUGGAGCAUGU
rnacentral:rRNA from 1 species